CACGUAGGGUGCGAGCGUUGUCCGGAAUUAUUGGGCGUAAAGAGCUUGUAGGCGGUGUGUCGCGUCGGCCGUGAAAACCUGCAGCUUAACUGUGGGCUUGCGGUCGAUACGGGCAUCACUGGAGUUCGGCAGGGGAGACUGGAAUUCCUGGUGUAGCGGUGAAAUGCGCAGAUAUCAGGAGGAACACCGGUGGCGAAGGCGGGUCUCUGGGCCGAAAUUGACGCUGAGGAGCGAAAGCGUGGGGAGCAAACAGG
rnacentral:rRNA from 1 species